CUGUGACUCUCUCUCAUGUCAAGUUGAUUCUUAGUCUAGCUAGAAGGACUUUUGAAGGGACAUGAAUCCCCAGCAGUUGUUCCUACCUCAGGACGUUUGCAUCUACUUUUCCCUCUGUCAAAACUUCCUUCCCUCAGACAUUCCCAUGCUUGGCUCCUGAUUGUCCUUCAGGCCUCACCUCAAAUGCCUCCUCUUUAAAACUAUCACCCUGACCACCCAAUCUAAAGUAGCUCCCAGUUACUCUCGCUCACUAUUUGUCCUGCUUUCUGGGAGAGUCUCCUUGCAUUUGAUACAUUAAACUCCAGCAUCAAUCACCCUCCUUCCAGGGCACUUUCCAGUAUUGUAGAGGCUGGAAAUUUCUCCUCUCCUUCAUUUCAGGGCAACCCCAACCAGUCCAGGGAGUCAGAUUUCAACUCACCAGGAUAAUAAGAAUUUUUGGUAUUUUUCAUCGUCUGUCCUCAUGAGUGCCCCGACUGGUGGAAGCAGAGCAGCAUCCACCUCUCUAGAACCUGACUACAAGCUACCUCUCAAUCCCCAAAGUGAGACUUAGAUCACUCAGGCUUCCAGGGGUUAAGACCUCAACUCUAGAAUCUCUACUUAAUUUAGAUGUGGUGCAUUUUUCUUUUUCUUGGACAUGAGAAGCAGGAAGAAGACACGAGUUUUAAAUCACCAGAAGAUCAUAAGGCCAUUUUGGAAUUUAUAGAGUAUAGAGUACUAAGCCUCCCGCCUUCAGAAUGUUGCAUUUCCUCUAUGUGACAUGACUGGUACUUAAUUAGCCCUUCAAGUCUUACACAGCUGUGCAUGUUCUUCUUGGAUGAAGCAGACGAAGGGUAUCUCCUGAGACACUUGGUUCCCACCAUCUUAAAGUCAUUGCAUAAUUUUCCUGAUGUCUUCAGCAUUUGUUAUUCAACAUAAUGUAAUAGUUGACCUCUCUGGGAUCUUGGAAGACAGUGCAUUUUUUUUUUUCAAUUGUGGGAAAAACUCUUCCCCACAGUUUUACUUCAACAUUUUAUGAAAGGCUCUGAAAAUGGUGUAGAUCUGGAUAAAAGGAGGGGAAACCAACAAGUGGGCUGGAAAGGAAUCAAACACGGAAAUCGGAAUAAGACAGAGCUGGGGACAGGGGGACAUAAGCCAUGUCUUCAACAUUUGGUUGAAAACUGAAGAUAUUGGUCCAUUAGCUGGGGUAUUGUUUCUACCAGGCCAAUGAAUUCACUUUAAUUGAAUGUUUCCCUUGAAUAGUAUUUUGCUGGAUCUCUACACAACCGAAGGAAAGACAAAACGAACAAAUAAAAAAAAAAAUCAAAGGAAGUCAGAAGGAUGUUAUAGGCUACCAGUGAGAUGAGCAGGAAAGGGAUGGGUAGAGUAAGAUGGACCAUAAGAAGCAGAAUGAUUUGUUUCUAGCACAGUAAUGCUCCUUGUCUUCCAUGGUCUGCACAUAUAAUGGGCUGUUCCAGGUUGGGGGUAAAACCCACAGAGUUAGUCUGUGCUUAUACUUUCUGGUUUCCCCACCAGCCUCAGAGGUGUCAACAUCUGCCACAGGCUCACCAUCAUUUCAUGCUUCAUCAUGCUCUGAGUGGCAUGUGAAAUAGCAGAUGUCCUCUGCAGGUGUGUCAGGUGAAGACAACCCCAGAUGUUGGCCCCACACGAAGCCACAUGAAGAGCCAGCUGGCUUUUCCUGGCAAAGGAGAAAGUACAAAUCUUAAGUUCUGGUUUGACAAGAUUGUCCCUUUCAUUGGUCCACAGCGCUGGUGGUCUGUAACGUCAAGGCUGGAUGGAUCCACAGGUUGAGUGAAAAGCUGCUUAGUCCUGAAAUUCCUUCAGGAAUUUCUCUCCAUCCUUCAAGAAGUCUCUCCCACUGACCUCUCAGAUAAUAACUUCAGAGAAGAAAACAGAGCUACUUUGUAUGAUUUCUUUGGGUUGUGAUGUGAAGUCUUCUACAGCUUGUUUGUUUGUUUUGCCUUUCUUUUGGCUAUGUAGAGAGCCAACAAAAUAGUAUUCAAGGGAAACAUUCAAUUAAAGUAAAUUGAUUGACUUGGUAGAAACAAUACCCCUGCUAAUGGACCAAUAUCUUUAUUUUUCAACCAGGUGUAGGAUGUCAAGGAGACAUGCCUUGUGCCUGAAAAUAAGUCUGUUUGGUGUUAUUUACAGAUACCUGGGCUGGCCCUUCGGAAAUGAGGUGAAACAGGUCCAUGCUGAUGUGUCCUUGAGAACUGAGGAUCUAUAGGAGCGAGAGGGAGCCAUCAGGGCAGACGAGAGCUUCUUGGAGUCACUGAUGCUGUUUACAGCUGGACAGCAGCUGGCGCUGUUACUGCGUUUGUCGCUUUGGGUUUUCGAGGUAACCCUCGGAGCUGCAUCCCCCAACCACGCAGACUCUAAGCCAAGUGGGGGUGAUGGCCCAGAGAGAAUGAAGAAAUGACCCAAGAUGUUGAUGGAGAUGCGGGUUUAUCGGUGGGAGCUUACGUACUGGGCAUCCAGGAGUGGCAGCUGAACAGAGCAUCCGCCACGGGGAUCUACCGGCAGCAACGCUGUGGAGCAUAGAACCCACUUCGCAGCUGCGCUCCUGUAACUUCUCCCCUUCUUUCAUGGGCAGCGUUCCCAGGAGAGCAAAGCCUGCCCUCUGGAUAGUCUUCAUUGCAAAGGAGCCCCUCCAGGUUGCCCACCCCCAGAACCCCAGACCUCACUGAACGCUGAACAGCAUGUUCUUUUGCACACUCUGCCUGAUGGGAAUCCAGAAGGAGAAUGGGAUCCCUACCCUCUCAAGGUAGCGAUUGAAGGUGCAGUCAGGGUUUGCUUGCACAAACCAGCCUGUGGGCACAUACCACACGCCAGCCCAAGAUGAGCAAAGGGACCUUGGGAAAUGAGCGUGGGGGGCAAGCUUUCCAGAACAGAAUUUUCUGAACUGCUAAAAGUUACUGGAGUCUGAGAGGGUCAGGGAUUCCAAAGGGAAGAAAGGACAGGUAAAGUCAGAACUAGGGUGGGAGGCAAUCAUCUCCACCACUCAGAAAAUCUUGUCUACAUUUUAUGCCUGGUAAUCACACCCCGUAUUUUUUGGAAAAUAAAAACAAAAACAAAAACAAAACCCAAAGCAACACUGUUCCAGGAAAUGUCUGUUUGCCACCACCUUUAACUUCCUUAAUCAUCUGUGGUGUUUUCUUUCUUUACAUUUGGCAACAGGUUGAUGAAAGCAGUGAACUAGCUGUUAGAUCAGAACUUUUUUUCAAUUUCAUUUCAAUGAAUUUGUGAAUAGGGAGGCCACUUUGUCAAGAAAAAGACACGUGAAAAUACCUGAAAUGGAAAAUGUAUUUCAAAACUGCACAUAUAUUUCCCACCAACUUCAUCAUUUGACUUGUUACUAUACGGAUCAAUAUUCUUAGACCAAGUAGAAAAUACCCACAAAAGAUCAGUUUAAAAAAACAAAAACCAGCAACUCUAAAACCUUGAUUUUAAAA